GGGGCUGCAGCUCCCCGCCCCCGCCCAGGCCGCGCUGCAGCAGCUGAACGGGGCCCUGACCCCCCUGGGGGGGCUGAACCCCGCGGCGCUGACGGCCCUGAGCCCCGCCCUGAAUUUGGCGUCGCAGUGUCUGAGCCUGUCCGGGCUCUUCUCACCCCAAACCAUGUGAGAUUUUUGGCUCCGCCCCCUUUUCCUUUUCCCGCCCUUUCC